rnacentral:rRNA from 1 species
AACGAACGUUAGCGGCGCGCCUAACACAUGCAAGUCGAGCGAGAAGGGAGCAAUCCCAGUAAAGCGGCGCACGGGUGAGUAACACGUAGGUAAUCUACCUCGAGGUGGUGGAUAACCUUCCGAAAGGAGGGCUAAUACAGCAUGAGACCACGUCUUCGCAAGAGGAUGAGGUUAAAGCGGGUCACUACAAGUAAACUCGCGCCACGAGAUGAGCCUGCGGCCCAUCAUGGUAGUUGGUAGGGUAACGGGCCUACCAAGCCGAAGACGGGUAGCUGGUCUGAGAGGAUGAUCAGCCACACUGGAACUGAGACACGGUCCAGACUCCUACGGGAGGCAGCAGUGGGGAUCUUGCGCAAUGGGCGAAAGGCCUGACGCAGCGACGCCGCGUGAGUGAUGAAGGCCUCGGGUU